GUGCCCAUUAUAACUACUAGAAAGUGAAACUCUUUGUGGUACCUGCGUUGGGGAUAGUUGGAGAAGUGAAAUAAGGUCAAAAUAAGAAUGGUCAGGAGGUCCGAGCCUUCUCUGCUGGUUUCUUUAUCCCACAUCUGCUUUGACAUCUACUCCUGUUCUUAAAUUCAAAACAAAAGCUAAUCAGCCCGAACAUACUCAAGACCCUGGAUCACUAAAAAAUAAGUUACACUACAAAAGUUCGAG
rnacentral:lncRNA from 1 species